GUCUAUGGCCAUGCCACCCUGAACAAGCCCAGUGUCUGAUUUUGGGAACUAAACAGGGUCGGGCCUGGUUAGUACUUGGAAGGGAGACCACCUAGAAAGACCAGGUACUGUAGGCA
rnacentral:rRNA from 1 species